AGGUUCGAGGUCGCAGAAAGACUACAGUUCCCAGAAUGCAGCGCGGAAGGCCCCGAUUCCUAUUGGGCGUCCAGGCAGCCUGACUACAACUCCCAGCAUGCUUCAGGAUUCCCCCCCCCCUCCGCCUCAUGUCUCUCUGGGAGACUACAGCUCCCAGCGUGCCGUUUUGUGGAUCUGUCCGCGGAACCUUGACUGUUCGUCCUUGGCGAGCGGAGAAGUGUUCUAUCUUUCCGCGCUGUUUCUGAUGCUGGUAGCGCGAGACGUGAAUCCAAUGGAAUGUGAAGAAGUGAUGACUAAGUUUGCCAAAGCCUUUCUGUUUUUUUUUAUUUAUUUUCUUUCAAGUGUAGGAGUGAGGAAAUGAAGGAAGGAAGGUUACUGUUGUAAGGUAGGGUGUGAGAAACACCCAGUUUUCCUCAAUAUGGAAUUCACAUUUCGUAGGACAAUGGGCUGCUCUGUGCCAUGACUGUGACAGGAAUCGAAUGUUAGAUACAUAGUGAGGAUAUGGAAGAAAUAAAAACAGAUGAGAAGAAAUUUAGGGAAGCAUGCAUAAAGAGGCUCCUCAGUGAAAUUCGUGGAUUGGUGGUAUGUAGUGCAGAAUAUGAAGUCAAGACCAUGACAAAAUUAAAGGAGGACCAAUAUCCUUUUGAGAAUUUGGACUUGGCACUAGAUGCAAUAAGACUGAUUUGCUCUGUUUUGGAAGAAUACACCCGGAAACAUGGCCCUGCCUUUUCUAUGUAUUAAGCAUCCCAUCAAAGGCUGCACAUCUCAGCUCUGUUGUCAGGACAAAUGGUGUUCAUGUGUAAUACCCCGUUCUCAUCCUGAUCUGAGCUGUCAAAAAUCACAAGGCCCAGAACCAGGGACCACAGCUGUACAAAGAGGAAGCCUGCUUUCUAAGGAAACUACAGCUGCAGCUUAGGCACCUGGCCUUCUGGACAUCUGCUUGGAGACAAUCUGAUCCAGAGACUAAGGGGAAGCAUUUCUCUUUAGUUCUGAGACAGAGCAGGACUGUUCCUGCCUCAGCUCAGGGUCAGGCCCAGAAAAUUCUGUCUUAUGUAUCUGUGUAUUUAUUUGCCUGCUUGUUUGUGUGUGUACCACAUGUAUUCAGGUGCUCACAGAGGCCAGAAGAGGACAUGGGAUCCCCUGGAACUGGAGUUGCAAUCUGUUGUGAGCCAGCCCACAUGGGUACUAGGAACUAAAUCCUAGGAACUGAAAACUCUUAGUCACCGAGCAUUCCCUUAGCAGCAGGCCCAGCUUAUGGAGCAAUGGAUCCCACUUGGGAAUUCUCACAGCCAUUGUCACUGACAUGCUGCUUGGCAGCAUAUUAGAGCUGUCAUCCCUUCAUGGGGGUAAUUCUUAUCCCAAACAGUUAGCAGGGAUGCCUGGGGACUAGCCUACACUUCUGCAUGUUCAACUCUUGGUGCAUGGUUGGAAGGUGACAAUGAUGCCUUGUUGGAGAUGACAGUUCUACUUGCCGCAGGCAAUGAGACCAAAUGACAAAGAUGGCAGGCUCACGGUAGCCCAUUUGGCCUGGUAGUUUUAACAAGAGCCUGCCAUCAUCCGAUGGAGAAGAGGGCAGGGUUAGCACUGUCUGUCUCUGGACUGUUUUCCCAGGAGGCCAUUGACUUCUUUACUAAUUCAUGAACAUGGCUCCAGAGUGCAAAGAAGGGGCCCUGUGCUUGACAGCAUGCUCUAUAGUUGGUUCGCAGGCUUUUUACUUCCCUGGCUGCUUCUCACCUUGGUGCUGUCUUCUGGGCCUUUUCAUGGAGUCCCUCUGCCUCUGCCUGCUGUGGCUACUUAUUCUUCAGUCACACAUCUCAUCUAUCUUUGUGUCAUCUUUCCCUUCUCAAUCAAAGCUGCUGUCUCUCCCUUCUGAGCUGCUCGGCAAUUGGGCACUGUGUUGCCUUACAUUGGGAGUAUUUCCCUCUAGGGAGGGCACUGUAUAAUUCUCAUUACCAAGUACACAGACUGAAAGCCAUAAAUAUAAUGGGGUAUAGUAAGCUCUUCUGAAAAAAAACCCACAAAAACAAAUGAGUCCCUCUGCAUGAAUAAAAAUGCAUGAUCAGUGUAGGUGUGCCUAGCAGACUCCUUUGACAAAUGCUAUCCAAUUGCAUUUGUUCCCAUUAAUUUCAAUUUUCCUUUACACAGCUUAUCUUCAGACCUUCAAAGGCUAAUAAUGUUACCCUCUUGCAUACGUUUAUAUAAUUCCUCUUUAGGUGAGAAACUCACAGAAGGCAGAAAUUGUAUCUUCUGCUUCCAAAACAAAGAAUAGCUAUCUUCCCGAUGAAACAUUGCAAUAGGAGAGGUAGAGGGGAGAGGACAGUACGAAGACAAUAUAUAGUUUGCUGGAUAUCCAGUUUUUAGCAUGUGUAUAUGUGUGUGGUGUGCUUGUGUGUGCCCAUCUGUGUGUAGGUGCAUAUGUGUGUAGGUGAGUAUGCAUGUGUUUACUUAUGUGGAGCCCUUAGAUUGUUAUCAGGAGUUGCCUUCAACUGCUCUUCUCCUUAUUCUUGGAGACAGAGUCUCUCUGUUGAACUCAGAACUCACUGACAUUACUAGUCUAUCCAGCUGGCUAGCUCUGGGGAUCCCCUGACUCCACCAUCCAAGUGCUGGAAUUACAGGUGGACUGCCACACCCACCCAGAAUUUACGUGAGUUCUGAAGAUCCAAACUCAAGUCCUAAAGCUUGUGUGGCAAGUGCUUUAUCCACUGACAAAGCACCUUCCGUUCUUGAAGAAAAACAGUUGAUCUCCAAACCAUGUCACCCACCUGUUUGGCUAUUGGACAUGUUUUUGAAAAUUCACUAGGUCGGAAUUGGAUAAGCAUGAGACCCAUGUUCUUUUCCCUAGAAAAAACAAUCCACAUAGGUUAUUGUAGGAUCACGACAACAGGAGACAGACAGGCGUGCAUUUUCAUGUAGAGCAAAUGUGAAGUCCUGCUACAUGUGAACCCUCUGAGAAGUUGGAGAGGCCUGGAUGGUGGCUACUUCCCUGAAGACAGCUCUUCACUAUGGUGAUGUCCAUGGCAGCUCCAGUACUCCACCCCACCCGACCCCUCCCUGCUCCUUUGGAUCUCAGGCAUUGACCAGAUGGUUGGCACAGCGGGAAACAGUAGUGAGCAUGAUCAGCAUUUUAGAUACUUCUCACCCCCUCUACAAAUAUCCUCAGUGCCUGGAUACUGAGGUUCUGCCCCUGAUGCCUUGACCUGCUUCCUCCUCAGCACGCUCUUCCUUUUGUUCUAUGGAGUUCCCACCCCACUGGCAAUACCUUUGAAACGAUGAAGAGCCAGUCACCUCCUAAUCUCAUUAAGGUGCAUAACUGAUUUGAUUUGAACUCAAAAAAAGGUCAGAUAGAAUGCCUUUCUUAGUUACCAUGUGUACACAGAUCAUUUUGUGUUUGGGCAAAACAGAGGUUUCAAGAACAACAGAAACAGAACAUUUGAAAGCUUAAUUCAGAUGCUACUUCCUGAUAAGAUUUUACUUUUUGGGAGGGGAUCAUGAGGGAAAAGAAAGUAUCUUAGAUAAUUUUAUGUGUGGUCUACAAUAUAAUUCUCAGUAAAUAUCCAUAAAAGCCAAAAUAUUGAAAGGAA